rnacentral:rRNA from 1 species
AUGAACGCUGGCGGCGUGCUUAACACAUGCAAGUCGAACGAAGCACUUUAUUUGAUUUCCUUCGGGACUGAUUAUUUUGUGACUGAGUGGCGGACGGGUGAGUAACGCGUGGGUAACCUGCCUUGUACAGGGGGAUAACAGUUGGAAACGGCUGCUAAUACCGCAUAAGCGCACAGCAUCGCAUGAUGCAGUGUGAAAAACUCCGGUGGUAUAAGAUGGACCCGCGUUGGAUUAGCUAGUUGGUGAGGUAACGGCCCACCAAGGCGACGAUCCAUAGCCGACCUGAGAGGGUGACCGGCCACAUUGGGACUGAGACACGGCCCAAACUCCUACGGGAGGCAGCAGUGGGGAAUAUUGCACAAUGGGCGAAAGCCUGAUGCAGCGACGCCGCGGGAGCGAAGAAGUAUUUCGGUAUGUAAAGCUCUAUCAGCAGGGAAGAUAAUGACGGUACCUGACUAAGAAGCACCGGCUAAAUACGUG